CCUACGGGAGGCAGCAGGGGGGAAUAUUGGACAAUGGGCGCAAGCCUGAUCCAGCCAUGCCGCGUGUGUGAUGACGGCCUUAGGGUUGUAAAGCACUUUCAACGGUGAAGAUAAUGACGGUAACCGUAGAAGAAGCCCCGGCUAACUUCGUGCCAGCAGCCGCGGUAAUACGAAGGGGGCUAGCGUUGUUCGGAAUUACUGGGCGUAAAGCGCACGUAGGCGGAUUGUUAAGUGAGGGGUGAAAUCCCAGGGCUCAACCUUGGAACUGCCUUUCAUACUGGCAAUCUUGAGUUCGAGAGAGGUGAGUGGAAUUCCGAGUGUAGAGGUGAAAUUCGUAGAUAUUCGGAGGAACACCAGUGGCGAACGCGCUCACUGGCUCGAUACUGACGCUGAGGUGCGAAAGCGUGGGG
rnacentral:rRNA from 1 species